AGAAAGAAAAAGGUUUAAUAUUUAAAUUGCUAAUUUAAAAUAUAAGGGUUCGAUUCCCUUUCUUUCUG
rnacentral:tRNA from 1 species